rnacentral:rRNA from 1 species
UGCAGUCGAGCGGAUGAAGGGAGCUUGCUCUCUGAUUCAGCGGCGGACGGGUGAGUAAUGCCUAGGAAUCUGCCUAUUAUUGGGGGACAACGUUUCGAAAGGAACGCUAAUACCGCAUACGUCCUACGGGAGAAAGCAGGGGACCUUCGGGCCUUGCGCUAAUAGAUGAGCCUAGGUCGGAUUANCUAGUUGGUGAGGUAAAGGCUCACCAAGGCGACGAUCCGUAACUGGUCUGAGAGGAUGAUCAGUCCCACUGGAACUGAGACACGGUCCAGACUCCUACNGGAGGCAACAGUGGGGAAUAUUGGACAAUGGGCGAAAGCCUGAUCCAACCAUGCCGCGUGUGUGAAGAAGGUCUUCGGAUUGUAAAGCACUUUAAGUUGGGAGGAAGGGCAGUAAGUUAAUACCUUGCUGUUUUGACGUUACCGACAGAAUAAGCACCGGCUAACUUCGUGCCA